CUGAGACAGCAGAGAGUAGCCAGUCAAGCAAAUGAGGUUUCUUUACCAUACCUACAAACUAGUCGCUUUUUGGCGAAAUUCGCCAUUUGAAAUCAAAAUAUGUCAUUUAUGUGAAUCGCGUAGAUCCAAAGAGACCCUACUAUUUACUUUGUAAACAUGUCACCUUUUUCACCACUUUGGAGUUUACAGCAGAAAACAGGGAACUUCGGUGUCGCUUUGAAAACAUUUGUCCUGCAUCAGCGCAUUCUAUCAGGGAAAAGCCACACUGAUAUUUAUCCUGGAUUUCUGCCGUUGUCUGUCCCGACUUCGUCUGGCUGCAUCAUGUUUUCACUUCUUUGACGACGACGAUUGACGCUCUGUCAGCUCGUGCAAAAUAAUAUGGCUGAGUGUAGUAGAUGCCAGCUGAGAGCAGAUCUCUGUCCACGGGCCAUGCCCCAGCCCCUUCCUGCUUCCUACUUGGAGCCAGCUUGCAUCAUGCAUCAUGGAUGUGUCGUUCCUCUGUGUGCGGGGAAGCAGGGAUGCCGCGCUGGCAACAGCAGUUUAUUAAUCGGGUCAGGUGGCCGCCUCAGGCAAUCAAUAGAGAACAGACGGCAUACUGGCACAUAGAUGCACACUCUUACACACAAAGUAAUGUGAUGUGGCUAGCUUUUGAGCUAGUGUGAAAACUGCCUCUCAAAACCACCUCAAGCUCUUUUUGGGCUCUGAGAGACCCCAAGCACAUUUUGAAAUAUACUUGAUAUAUACAUAUUUGUUAUAUACAUUUAAGAUUCAGGUUAAUAUUUAACAAUGGAGGUGGGUGGUCACAAUUUAUAUACUAUAUAUAUACUAAGUUUUGCUGGAAAUUGUUUAUGUAUUAAAUAGCCUCGUUCAGACUCUAAAAUCUGAUUGGAUGAGCCACAUUCAGAACCGUAUAUGCGUUAUGAGUUGCUAAAAUCCGCUUUGCAUCAUGCCCAACAUCACUUAAUUACUGUACAACAAAAACACUUAAUUACUUGAUUGUCCUUGUCUUGUUUUUCAUGUAUUGUAUUGAAUAUGUAUGGAAGACCAUUUCUACCAUGCAUGCAAGAAAAAAAAUGCUUUGGUAAAACAUAAUUAUGACAAUGUCAAAUUAUAUAAACAUACAUAAAGGUAAAAAGUCAAAAUUAUGAUAAUGAUUGUAACUAUCAGAUAAAAAGCUGAAAUUCUGACAUUAAAAGUCAUAUUUCUGACAGAAUGUUGACAAGGAUGGAUUCAAGAAUAAAAUGAUACGUUGGAUUUACUUUAUGUCAACAGGUUCCAUGUAACUGGGUUAUGUUGCAUUUAAUUAACAUCAUUAAUUUCAGUUAACUUAAGUUUAUUACAUAAGGUUAAUUCAGUGUCAUUUAGUUGAAUCAGGUUAACAUUCUUAACUUUGUCCAAAACUAUUAAGUUCAAUUAUCCUAAAAUUAAAAUCAAACAAAAAUUAAAACAAAUAAU